GUGCAUUUGGUGCCAGAAAACAGUACAUGAUGAGUGCAUGAAAAAUAGUUUAAAGAAUGAAAAAUGUGAUUUUGGAGAAUUCAAAAACCUAAUCAUUCCACCAAGUUAUUUAACAUCCAUUAAUCAGAUGCGUAAAGACAAAAAAACAGAUUAUGAAGUGCUAGCCUCUAAGCUUGGAAAGCAGUGGACCCCAUUAAUAAUCCUGGCCAACUCUCGUAGUGGAACUAAUAUGGGAGAAGGACUGUUGGGAGAAUUUAGGAUCUUGUUGAAUCCAGUCCAGGUAACUAAAGAAAAAAACUUUUUAUAUUAAUGUUUUCAUUUUCCCCAAAAUGCAAUGAUUAUUAAUGCUUCAAGUCACUAAUCACCUGAUCAUAGGAAAGAAUAAUAAUUACAAAAAGAUCAGCCAUUUAAAUAUGUGGAUAAACAGGCACUCUUGUGGGAAUAUAAAAUGGUACAACCUCUUUAGAAGACAUCUUGGCAGUUUCUUAAAAAGAUAAAUAUAAAUUUAUUAUAUCUUCUAGCAAGUCCUCUACUAGGAAUCUACCCAAGGGAAGUGAAAACAUAUUUCUCACAAACAUUUGCAUGAAAAUGUUCACAGCAGCAUUAUUCAUGAUAGCUGAAAAGCAUAAACAGCCCAGCUGUUCAUCAGCUGAUGAGUUGAUAAACAAAAUGUGAUGUAGCCCUACAAUGGAAUACCAUGAAAUGACAAAAAGGAACAAACUACUGAUACGUAUAUAUUACAAUAAAUGAACCUCAAAAACAUACUAAGUGAA
rnacentral:lncRNA from 10 species